rnacentral:rRNA from 1 species
GAUGAACGCUGGCGGCGUGCCUAAUACAUGCAAGUCGAGCGAACAGACGAGGAGCUUGCUUCUCUGACGUUAGCGGCGGACGGGUGAGUAACACGUGGAUAACCUACCUAUAAGACUGGGAUAACUUCGGGAAACCGGAGCUAAUACCGGAUAAUAUUUUGAACCGCAUGGUUCAAUAGUGAAAGACGGUCUUGCUGUCACUUAUAGAUGGAUCCGCGCUGCAUUAGCUAGUUGGUAAGGUAACGGCUUACCAAGGCAACGAUGCAUAGCCGACCUGAGAGGGUGAUCGGCCACACUGGAACUGAGACACGGUCCAGACUCCUACGGGAGGCAGCAGUAGGGAAUCUUCCGCAAUGGGCGAAAGCCUGACGGAGCAACGCCGCGUGAGUGAUGAAGGUCUUCGGAUCGUAAAACUCUGUUAUUAGGGAAGAACAUAUGUGUAAGUAACUGUGCACAUCCUGACGGUACCUAAUCAGAAAGCCACGGCUAACUACGUG